GUCCCUGUAGCGCAAUGGAUAACGCGUUGGAGUUCUAAUCCAAAGGUCGUGAAUCCCACCUGGGAUG